rnacentral:rRNA from 1 species
AUUGAACGCUGGCGGCAGGCUUAACACAUGCAAGUCGAACGAGUGGCGGACGGGUGAGUAAUGCUUGGGCAUCUAGCUUAUGGAGGGGGAUAACUACGGGAAACUGUAGCUAAUACCGCGUACCAUAGGAUUAGCCCAAGUGGGAUGAGGUAGUUGGUGAGGUAAAGGCUCACCAAGCCGACAAUCUCUCGCUGGUCUGAGAGGAUGAUGAGCGAAACUGGGACUUGGACAGGGCCCAGAAUCCUACGGGAGGCAGCAGUGGGGAAUUUUGCACAAUGGGCGGAAGCCUGAUAAAUCAAUGCCGCGUGUAUGAAGAAGGCCUUCGGUUUGUAAAGUACUUUCAGUCGGGAGGCGUUACCGCCCUAAGAAGCACCGGCUAACUCCGUGCCAGCAGCCGCGGUAAUAC